UUCUUCAAAGGUUAUGUCUUCUGCAAGCUAGUCAGGAUUCAUUUGACUCUUUACAACUGACUUCAAUAUAUAACUACUGAGGUGUAGAAAACUGGGAUUUUCAUUAGUGGAAAGAAGGAAGGUCCAGACUGAAAAAAAUGCCAGAUAUAUGGGAUUUGAAGUAAAGUAAUUAAAAUAAUAAAUACAUGAGAUAUAGUUCUUUGAUAAGGCAGAGGUAGUAUUGCUACAUUCUUAGGACAGAUUACUCAAUUGUAUAGAAGUUAGGGAAUCUUUGCCAGCAACAGAAAACCCUUCAAAUGUUAACUGCUUGUUUCAGGGAUGCUUGUUGCAUCUGAAAGAGAAAAACAAUACAACAAAUUGACAAAAAUAGGAAAUUCAGAAAGCCAUGGUAACAUAAUAAGAUUCAUGUCACAGUGUGGUAUAGUGAGAGAGACGUGGCAUGGAAGCCAGGAAUACCCUGUUUCUGACACAUACUGGAUGUGUCAAUUGGGCAAUCAUUUAACCUCUACUCUUCCUAGGCAGAUGAUAUCAAACUCAAAUAGAAACAGGCCCCUACAACUAAGGGAAGUUUUGAUGAUUCUGGAAGAGAGAAUGAGACUAUCUCAAAUCCAAUUCAUAAGCAAGUCAAGAAAUCAUUGAUAGUCUUCCAAAAUGGAGGAAAAACAACAAAGAAAUAAACCUAAUGUGCUACUAAAGGAUUCCUAUGAAUAGUAUAUUGAUUUAGACAACCACAUAUUAACAUUAUCUAUGUUUUAUUUUAUUUUUAUUUAUUUUGUUUAAUAUUUCUCAAUUGCAUUUUAAUUUGGUGUGGAUUGUAAUUAGUUUAAUACCCCUAUUCUAAGCUAUAAAUUCCAGGUAAGUACUGACCUGUUCUGGUAGAAGUUUCUCACCUGUGUGUGACUCUUACUCAAAUUAAAAUCAAAGACUCUCAAAGUAAAAAGCAAAAAAAAAAAAAAAAAAAAGAAAAAGUAUUUAUUAUUAUCUUGUGAGAAAGGGCAACUCCCAACAGACAAAUUGUCAGUAGAGGAGUGCAAAGCACAAAUUGCAAAACACAAGAUUAUAUAGACCCUAACCAGAAGCCCCCUCUCCUUUUCUCCCACUGUCUGGGGACAUAGAAUACAAGUAUAUAACAAACUCUUUACCUGUUAAAUACUUAAAUGCUAAUUAGGGGGUGGGAGCAGGAAGAGAUAUAUUCAUCCAAGACAAUCAAACUCAACUUGUUAUAGCAAAGUCUCAAGUCACAAUUAGGACAAAGUGAAACCACAACUUUAUGAAAGGUCUUCACUCAGUUUUUACCACUCUCUUGGACGUUCUGUAUUUCAAUAAAAGCAUAGAGCCAAUCCUUACUGACCAUUGUGACAAUAUGGAAGGAGCUAGAUCUAGAGUGAGUGAAAAAAGGUUUGGAUGCCAUUCCUAUCUCACAAAAGUCUGAGCUGUGAGAUCUGAUCCUCAGUUUCCUUCUCUGUAAAAUAGUAGUUAUACUAAAAUGAGGUGAUGUAUGUUAUAUCCCUGAGAUUAAUAUGUCUGUCUUCUAUGAGUUACCUUAUCAGGCAGUGCAUUGGACACAGAGGAAACCUGUUUGCUAAAAGGAGCCAGUCAGGAGCCUGCACUGCGUCAGUCUUUCUUGCUCCUAGAUGCCUUUGCUGGUGUUCAUUGUCCUUGGUGAGAAGAAUAAGCAAACAGGGUUAAUUAAUCUGCCAAAGAUCACACAGCUGUAGGAAUGGAGAGCUAAAGAGUGACUGUACCUAAGAAAGAUACCACCCAAGUAGAAGAGACUCAAGCACCUGCAAUCUCUACUUCCUUCCCAGAGUCUGAACAUUAUUUGAAUGCUGAUAAGCCAUUACAUUGUAAGCUUCUU